GAUGAACGCUGGCGGCGUGCCUAAUACAUGCAAGUCGAGCGAACAGACGAGGAGCUUGCUCCUCUGACGUUAGCGGCGGACGGGUGAGUAACACGUGGAUAACCUACCUAUAAGACUGGGAUAACUUCGGGAAACCGGAGCUAAUACCGGAUAAUAUAUUGAACCGCAUGGUUCAAUAGUGAAAGACGGUUUUGCUGUCACUUAUAGAUGGAUCCGUGCCGCAUUAGCUAGUUGGUAAGGUAACGGCUUACCAAGGCAACGAUGCGUAGCCGACCUGAGAGGGUGAUCGGCCACACUGGAACUGAGACACGGUCCAGACUCCUACGGGAGGCAGCAGUAGGGAAUCUUCCGCAAUGGGCGAAAGCCUGACGGAGCAACGCCGCGUGAAUGAUGAAGGUCUUCGGAUCGUAAAACUCUGUUAUUAGGGAAGAACAAAUGUGUAAGUAACUAUGCACGUCUUGACGGUACCUAAUCAGAAAGCCACGGCUAACUACGUG
rnacentral:rRNA from 1 species